rnacentral:lncRNA from 1 species
UAAGUUUCAUUUCAUUCAUAAACGACCAUACAUGUUUCUUGAUACAUUAAGGAUGUUGUGCCACAAAAGUGAAAAAAAGACAUAUUCCUAGAUGUGUUACACAUCCAAAAUGAGCAUACAUCGGCUUAUGUGCUAAAAUAAGCAGCAAAAUGAGCAGAAAAAUUAAGUAUGGACGCCUUGCAGAUCUUGCCAAACCUCCAGCACCUUCAAGAUCUUGUCAAACCUUCAGGAGAUGUGUUCAAGGCCUUGUUUAUAAUGCUGAGCUGAAAAAAGUGAAGUGAAGUUUGAGGUUAGUCCAAAGUGCAUCUGCAUGCUAAAUAAUCUCUUGCUAAAUAUAAAUAUGCAACUAAUAAAGGCACAAUCUAGUGCUUCUAUCUAUCAGCAAAAGAACAAGAACGACUCUUACGAGAAGAGGGGCAGCUCGGCAGCAGCACCACCAGCAUAGCGUGUAGAGGAGGAUCACCAAAGCAGAGGACGGGAAAAGGAGUAGCAUCAGCUGCAUCACAGCAUCAAUCUCUCCACUCACCAUUUUAAUUGUUUCUUCUUAUUCAUGCUUGAAGAAAAUGAAGUCUUGGACCAAUUUAGGAAUAGCUAGUUGCACAUAGAACAUCCCCUAACACAUGAUAUAACCAAAUUUUCUUCUACUUCCCUAUGUGUGUAACAUGCGAAGAACUCAGAACUAAAAUUCAGAUAUGUUUCAAGAAACCCAUGUCCAUGAUUGUUUGAUUUAGGUCUCACUUGUCAUCCAUCAAACCAAAUCAGAACUAAACAUUAUUUCACAUAUGUGCAAGAGCUAAACAGUAAUAGAGCAUGAAAAAAAUGUACCACACGGUAUGUACAUCUAUGACAGCAGAUCCAACAUUGCUCCUGUCAAAAUUCUAAAGUCCUAAAAUGAUCUGUAGGUGGAAAGGCAAUAAUCACUAUCAGAGUUCAUCAAAAAGAGUACACUGAAGCAAUGAAAUUUAUUAAUAAACAUUUAACUCUAAUAACAUGUUCUCGAACAUGUUUCAAAUGGCCAACCUAGAGUACAUGCACAUAUAUAUUUGUUAAAAUUUUGGCUACAUAGCACAUUAUAACUUCCGUGAGAUAAAGAACAUUUAGAGACCUUAUCACCUCAUUAUUUCUUCUAACACUCUCUGCUCUUUUUCUUACUUCACGCCCGCUGCCAUUGCAUCUUCUAAUCAGUCAUCCAUGUCACAUUAUCCUGCCUGGGUCAUUCUUAUUUCCGAAGAUAUUCACCUUCACAUGAGUGCUGGAUUAAGAAAUCAACACACGGAUAUCACUCAUGCUUGUCUUUGCAAAUAUUAAAGGAAGUACGAAAACUACACAAAAAUAGGAGACGAUGGCUGCAGCUCACUUAUAGUUUGGACUUGCUGUCCUAUAUCUUCUAGACAAUGUAUAUGGCCUAGAUAUGCAAAACACUAUCAGUUCAACUAUUUUCCAUCAGUAGCAUUCGAAAUCUAAAUCAUGUAAUGGUCCUGUGUAACUCUAACAGCUAACAAAUAAACCUUUUUUCUAAUAUAAGAUAUUACAAUAAAUUUCAGUCCAGUUCUCCCUAUUGUAGGAUUAUCCGUUUAUAUACCUAGUACUGUAGGAUUAUUUGUUUAUACAUAAGUUAAUCUAAAUAGCAUGCAAUUUAAUUUCAUGGACAUUUUCUAACUCUAAUAAAUAAAGUGAAGUAAUUGCAAGCCAGUGUCAUGGAGGAUUGGCUGCAUGAGGCAGAUCAUGGGGGCAAGGAUAUGCUCGAGGGCGCACAGCCAGGACUCGAGGGGAUAGGGGCGUCAGGCCUCCCAUGCGGCAGCCGGACUGGGCAUAUCAAGGCUAAUUAACUCUCUAGAAAUUCAUUGGGGAUGAACAAGCUUCAAAUUGAACCAGACAACACAACAGUGCAGUAUAGAAUAAAGGAGAUGCAUAUCACCUGAACAUGACUCAAACCACAGUACUAGCCACCAGAGUAUAGUGUAUCAGGCUCAAAUAAGAGCUCCACUGCAGAAAUCCACCCAUGUAAACUUGCUGCUCCUCAGAUCCAUUCACAUCCUCUCCCCCACAUGCACAUAACACAGUAUAAUGGUUUAAAAUAUUAGACAGGAUUUGUAAGCAGAAAAUUGGACAAAGAACUUGCCUUGGACUGAGCAACGUGCU